AGUUCAAAUAUUAAAGUAGCACAUAUGACCCAAGAUAAUUUAGCAUUUUUCUAAGGCAUUUCCUGAUUCUCCAGGGCUAGAUGAAAAAGAGUAAGAGUAACUAGACUGUAUGGAAUAUAAAAUAACCUUUUGCUUAUAAUUUAUUAAAUGUGUUAUUUUAUUAUUAUUACAAUGGUUGAUCCUCUGGUGACCUGCAAAACCAGCUGCAUGGAUACAGAAAUUUUAAAAUUCAGAAACUCUUUUCUAAAACUUUAGGGUGAAUAAUUUACACAAAGUCCACAAAGAUUUAGACAAUGCAACUAUUUCUUCUGUCUUCUGUUACUGAAGUUUUAAGACCUAAACUAAUUGCACACACCACAAAACAGUAAAAAUCCUUAAACUUCAUGUAUCAUAAAAGUAUUACUUUGUUAAUGAUGUGUCUUUGGGUGAGAGGGAGGGCAUUUCUCAACUCUUGCUUAUGCUUUGUUUGUAGUGAUAGGGUCCUGGAAAAGUCACUAACCCCCAGAGAUACCCUGAACCAGGGGUUUCCAAGUCUGUUGUCUCUCACCCAAGAAGAAUAAGGAAAUACAAGAAAGAAGUGAGCAAGGGUGGCCCCAGGAACCCCUCUGAAGAAGACAUCAACAGCUGAGGAAGCAGUGCUGUCAUAUCUCAGCUUCCUUGGUGGUCCAGCACUCUAACAUGUUUUAAAAAGCCAGAAGCCCUUGAAUCCUCCCACAGGCCACCUGCUGUGGCAAAACUAAGCAAACAAACAAAUAAAGCUUGCAAUAAGCCCAAUACCGAGAGUUUAAAUUCCAGACUUAAUAUCUAUUAGCUUUACAACUAAUCUCACUAACUUCAAGCAACUCCCUUUCCCAUAUGAAUGAUGGGAUGGGACCACUUACCACAGAGUUCCAAUCUAUGUACCUGGGCAGAUCAUGGGUACUUGAUAAUGUGGUUACCAACAUUAGAAGAGGCACAGUGGCCACUGAAGAUGAGUGGAUGAAGGAUGGUGUUGUGAAGGACAGUUGGGGAAAUCUUACUGAGUCCAUGGUUGGAGCUUGAUAAAACUGUCAGUUAUCCAAAGGAAGGCUUCUGGAAAUGAGAGUAGACCUUCAAGCAACACAUCUUCUGCCACAUGGCACAGGAUGCAAGGAGGCUCAUUGCCAACAGAUCUUUGCUGCAGAGGGUCUUCUGAUGCUGCAAGGACAACUAAAGGCAGAGGGAUGGGAAGGCUGUAUGAAGGAGAGGCACAACAUGUCACACUUGCCCUUGGAGAUAUCAGAGAUUGGUAGUAACCCUUCUGAUGCUGGAUUGGAUCCUGCCUGCAUGUGUGCCUGGCUCCAGGUAGAAGCCUAUAUUCUGUAUAUUCUAAUAUAUAUGUACUCAUCCAGCACCACUGUUAGGAGGUACCCUGUAUCCCUCCCUGGGACUCUUUGCUCAGUUGUUCUGUUCUUUGUGCUGGAGAGAAAUGACGAAGAGAUCU
rnacentral:sRNA from 1 species